rnacentral:piRNA from 1 species
AGGGAAGACAUUCCUGAAGACUCUCUAUGA